CUCGCCCAUCAAAUAGCUCAUGGCAACAAACCAUGCUUCAGGUCAUGCUGUUGUCUUUUGGUCUAUUGGAGAUGAUCGUCACCUACAUGUCUCGCCAUGCCGCGCUUGGGCGUCUGUGUAUGUAUUUGACAAUUGCAUGCUGUCAGAGCAAUCAAUUAUUCAUUCAAUUCUACUUGUGCAGCCCUUUGGUACGUAUGAACAUUCUGAUCCUUGCUUGCUACAACAACCGAAAUCGAGUUGUUGUGGUCUGGGAGAAGGAUUGCUUGAUGUUAAAUUGACUUAAUAUUAAUUCUUUCAUUGUA
rnacentral:sRNA from 1 species